AUGUUGAUUUAUACAUUGUUUAUCAUUCAUGACAGGCAUCCCCAGGUGCCCCUCCUUCUUAUGAACAAGCCAACAGGGAGAAUGAAUCCAUAAAAGGAUUGGAUGCCCAGCCUCCAAGAUACUCUGACCCAGAGAGUCAGACCUCUACACCCAGUGAGCCCCCUCCAUCAUACGAAUCCCUGUAUGGACGUGUCAAAGCAGCCCAGCUCCAAUCAGAAAGCAAACCACAGUUCUUCAAAAAAAUCCUGACAAUCGUCAUGGGAACUUUGGGCUGUACCAUUUGUCUUGGAAUUAUUCUCGCUGUACCAAUCUCAAUGAUUGUCAUGGGCAGCCUAUAUUUCCAUGACUGUCCCGCUGAGUGGCUCAUUCCCUUGUAUCUGGUUGUUGCUGGAUCUGUUGGAAUCAUUAAGAAUUUUUCAAGUCUUUGUCAGAAAGUAAAGAAUGACAGAGAAAAUGCAGAAGAUGACAAUGUGAAAACCACAAAGUUUGAUUCCAUGUUGAACUGUUUUCUUUUGGUUUGGUUUAUUUUUGGGAAUGUUGUGAUCUACAGAACUUAUGAGACGUACAGCACAGUACCGGGACAGCACAACUACUGUAACCCCAUACUGUAUGACUAUGCCUUCUGGCUGACCACUGCGACCUACAUACUACUGGGUACCUCCUGUUGCUGUAUCUGCUUCUGUGGCUGUCUGGCCAGCCUGGCAGGGGGAGAUAAAUGAUUCUCCCGUGGGAUAAAAAAAAAAACAUAUAUCUGGGAUUCAAAUCAAACCUGGUUUCUUGACUGACAUAUACAUAUGUAUUCAUAUUUAUUUUAUGAUUGAAAUAUAUGUUAUUUUGAUGUUGUUCACAUAUAGGUAUUAUCUCAUUUUUGUACUUUUUCCUAUUCUUUUUCUUCUCUCUUUAUGAGAGGCACAUUGUUAUUCAGUACCAAAAGUUUUUCUCUGUGUAUGAAUAUGAUUUCUAUCAUGAAAAAUUGAAAAUCUAUUCUGAGGUUGAUUAAAUGUGCUGUUUGUCUUUUGACAAAAGGAUUGACGCUUUAUAUAUCUUUACACAAAAUAACUACUUCAUGUACCAGUAUUUCUCAAUAUUUCUUGUUUCUGGAGAUGCUUUUUUUUCUUGACAAUUUAUAGCAUGUAACUUAAAAUCUUGUAUAGCAAGGUAAUGAAUAAUGUUCUUUUUGCAUCUAUUUUAAAUUAGGAGUGAAACAGUUUACAGCAGUAUGGUUUCACUAUGGUAUUUUUUCUCAGUUUGAUACAUUUUGCAAAAUCUCCACUUUCAGUUUGGUUCAUUUUUCCAUCGGGAUCCUUAUUCAAUAUUCAGUAAGGUUGAACAAAGGUCAAAUGUUGCUUAGCAUAAUUUAGUAUUCAAAACAUAAUAUUAUUAUAAAUUUUUGAGGACUGAUAGUUUGUAAAAUAAUUUUUAAUAGUCAAAUCAUAUUUAUAAAUAUCAAUUUCUUGUCAAUUUGCUUGUAAAUGAAGUGGCUAGAACUAUGCUAAAUUUGUUUCCUUUCCAACAAAAUGUAGGUAUCUAAUAAAAAAUAAAGGUACUGAUACAAAAUUAUAUGGUACAUAUCGUACCAUGAAGGAGACUUUUGUUUCACUCCUAUUUUAAAUAUUUACAACUUUAUAAUCUUAUGAUAUAUUACAUGCAAAUGAUUUUGUUACAGUAACACAUUUGAUUUUAAAGGGGAAUUAGCUGUACAUUGUAAUACUGAUGAUAACCCCUUAUUCUUUAAUAAACAUUUUUUUUUUGUGUGUGUGCUAAUUGAAGAAAUAAAUGUGUAUAUAUUUUUGCACUGGUUGUACAUAUAUAUGAAAUUUUGAUAUUUUGAUAAUUAUCUCUCUUAUUGUUAUUUAUUGACUAGUACAUUUAUUUCCUAUAAAUUUAUAACUUAAUUUAACAUAAAUGGAAAGGAAUGGUAAUGGCUAGGUUUAAAUUGGUCUUCAUUUCAUAUUGGAAAAAACAAAACACAUUCAAAAUGUGAAAGUUUGCAGUUAGGAAAUUUAAAUGGCAGAUCUAGUAAUAUUUUUCCGUUUCACAGCGAUCAAAGGAUUCAAUACAUGUAGGUACACAACUUUAAAGCUUAUGCAAUUUUGAGU